GAUGAACGCUGGCGGCGUGCCUAAUACAUGCAAGUCGAGCGAACAGACGAGGAGCUUGCUCCUCUGACGUUAGCGGCGGACGGGUGAGUAACACGUGGAUAACCUACCUAUAAGACUGGGAUAACUUCGGGAAACCGGAGCUAAUACCGGAUAAUAUAUUGAACCGCAUGGUUCAAUAGUGAAAGACGGUUUUGCUGUCACUUAUAGAUGGAUCCGCGCCGCAUUAGCUAGUUGGUAAGGUAACGGCUUGCCAAGGCAACGAUGCGUAGCCGACCUGAGAGGGUGAUCGGCCACACUGGAACUGAGACACGGUCCAGACUCCUACGGGAGGCAGCAGUAGGGAACCUUCCGCAAUGGGCGAAAGCCUGACGGAGCAACGCCGCGUGAGUGAUGAAGGUCUUCGGAUCGUAAAACUCUGUUAUUAGGGAAGAACAAAUGUGUAAGUAACUAUGCACGUCUUGACGGUACCUAAUCAGAAAGCCACGGCUAACUACGUG
rnacentral:rRNA from 1 species